rnacentral:rRNA from 1 species
AUUCCGGUUGAUCCUGCCGGAGGCCAUUGCUAUCGGUGUCCGAUUUAGCCAUGCGAGUUGUACGUUUACCGUAGCGAACUGCUCAGUAACACGUGGCCAAACUGCCCUAUGGAUCGGGAUACCCUCGGGAAACUGAGGCUAAUCCCGGAUAACGCAUCCAGCCUGGAGUGGCGGAUGUGUGAAACGCUCCGGCGCCAUAGGAUGUGGCUGCGGCCGAUUAGGUAGACGGUGGGGUAACGGCCCACCGUGCCGAUAAUCGGUACGGGUCAUGAGAGUGAGAGCCCGGAGACG